rnacentral:pre_miRNA from 1 species
CUACUACUCCCUCCGUUCGGAAUUACUUGUCUCAGAAAUGGAUGUAUCUAGAACUAAAAUACGUCUAGAUACAUCCAUUUCUACGACAAGUAAUUCCGAACGGAGGGAGUAUUUG